rnacentral:rRNA from 1 species
UACGGGGGGGGCAAGCGUUGUUCGGAAUUACUGGGCGUAAAGGGCUCGUAGGCGGCCAACUAAGUCAGACGUGAAAUCCCCAGGCUCAACCUGGGAACUGCGUCUGAUACUGGUUGGCUUGAAUCCGGGAGAGGGAUGCAGAAUUCCAGGUGUAGCGGUGAAAUGCGUAGAUAUCUGGAGGAAUACCGGUGGCGAAGGCGGCAUCCUGGACCGGCAUUGACGCUGAGGAGCGAAAGCUAGGGGAGCAAACGGGG